rnacentral:rRNA from 1 species
GACGGGGGGGGCAAGUGUUCUUCGGAAUGACUGGGCGUAAAGGGCACGUAGGCGGUGAAUCGGGUUGAAAGUGAAAAGUCGCCAAAAAGUGGCGGAAUGCUCUCGAAACCAAUUCACUUGAGUGAGACAGAGGAGAGUGGAAUUUCGUGUGUAGGGGUGAAAUCCGAUAAUAUACGAAGGAACGCCAAAAGCGAAGGACAGCUCUCUGGGUCCCUACCCGACGCUGGGGUGCGAAAGCAUGGGGAGCGAACAGG